rnacentral:lncRNA from 1 species
UUAUAAACGCUUUCCUGCGUAAACCCUGGAAGAAAGGGGCUUCUGUUUGUGGCAGCCCGGCCCCGCCGCCCGUCUCUGGCACACAGUAGGCACUCAGUGCGGCAGGCAUUCCCUGGGACCGAGGACAUUCUCUGCCCUUUCGAGCUGCUGGGUGCCUCUAGCAUCAGAACCCCUUGUCAGGUCUUGAUAUUCAGCACCUGGUCGCCUGCCCUGGGUGCCCUGGUGAGCGGAUGAGCUACAGGACUUGUGGCCACGGUGCAAAAUACAACGAGAGGUCCCUUGCACAUUGAGGGACAGUGCAGAUUAGCCCCCAUCAGGUCCACUGAGGAUGAACUACAAAGACAAUGAAAGUGACAAACACUUGGGUAAACUGAGGCAGGCAGCAUCCCUCAUGGAAGAGAAAGGAGGCUCAAGCCAGAGUGGAGAAGACUGUGAGGGACAAGACAUGACAGGAGUGGAGCACUCUCAGGUGUCCAGAGGUAAAGCAGUGACCUGAACCUGGGCCUACACUGGGGGAGGCCUGCCAGUGGCUCAAGACUCAAGAUUGGUAGGGAUCUCAGAUUCAGGAGAUGCAGUCUACCCAGGCCUCUCCCACACUCCUUCCUACUAGCACCAUGUCACCACAGGGUAAUAUUCAGGUCCCUCACUAUUGGUCUCCAGGGAGCUGCCACCACCUCCCCCAGCCUGGUAGUCCUAGCACAGCAUCCAGAACAGCCAUCUGCCCAGGAGCCAGGGCACACUCUGUCUGGCCCUGGGGAGUACCCUCCCAUCCCUGUCAACUCCAGCGUCUCAUCAACAGCUGGUGGCUGCCAUCUGACAGACUGACU